UUCUCUCCAAUGCUGAAUGUUCCUUCCUCAUGCUUGAAUCUGAAGUAAAGUGUUGAACCAAAGUGCUGCAGACCUGAAGUGUGAAUUCUCUCCACAGUGCCUGUCACCCACUAGCUGCCUUGGCACCGUGGAUGAUUCCAUCUGAUUAAGUGGUAGUGAAGCUUCGACUCAUCAUCUGAUGGAGCACUACAAGGGGCUUCUGAAGAAGUUGAACAGCCACCGUUUUAGUCAUGAUGAAGACGGUACAAACUCUGAUUCCCUCAGCGACAAAUAUCCAUGCAUCUUGCUGGCUCUGCUGAUCCAAGUAGAAGAAUUUGCUAAUCAAGUGGGCAUUCUACACCUUAGCCAAGUGCUCAUCUGCACAGUUCAGACAAUAAAUAGAUUUGGA